GCUACUCUAUGUGUUAAUCGUUUGUCAUGAUCGUGUUUAUUCAUUUCGUUUUUUUUCGUUUAUGUUUUCGUAGGUAUAACUACCAAAGAAAAGCCUGAAGCGAAAUUAUCUAAAAGAGCAUAAAUUAGAAUCUGUUGAAAAAGAAGUUGCUGGAUUACGUUAUUAUCACAGAAUCUACUAUUAAUACAGAAGAGGAAUUACAAACAUCGGAAGCAAAAUUAAUUAACCGUGAUCAAAACCAUGAAUUUAGAUUGUUGAAAUUACAAUAUAGUCAAUGGGUAAAGAUAUAAAACAUUCAAUUAAACGUAUUAGCACAUGGCAUACCAAAUUGGAUGUUCUGGCUAAAUACUCUAGUUUAACUACAAUUUGGAUAUUACACAUAUUUAUUUAUCUACUACAAUAAAUUUAAAUGUAAAAAAUAUUAUUUUGUGAGCCUCAUAGGUUUUUUUUAAAUUAUUUUUUACCUAGUACCUACCUAUAUUGAGAAUAAGAGAGUCAAUAUGGAUUAUUCUGAAUAUACAAUUCAUGCUAUUUUAUGCAUUUGUAAGACAUAACAAAGCAUGCAAGUAUAGCAUUUUUUAUAAUGUUAAUAUAAUAUUAUUAUUAUUAUCAAACAAUUUCAAAAAAGUAAUUUUAUUUUAUUUUAUUUUUUGAUACUUAACUAGAAUUUGUUUGUUUUAAA